rnacentral:rRNA from 1 species
UACGGAGGGUGCAAACGUUGUCCGGAAUCACUGGGCGUAAAGCGCAUGUAGGUGGUUUGGUAAGUGGGCGAUUAAAGACCAGGGCCUAACCCUGGGACUGUUACCCAUACUGCCUGACUUGAGGGAGACAGGGGCAAGCGGAACUUUAGGUGUAGGAGUGAAAUCCGUAGAUAUCUAAAGGAACACCAAUGGCGAAGGCAGCUUGCUGGGUCUCUUCUGACACUGAGAUGCGAAAGCGUGGGGAGCGAACGGG